rnacentral:rRNA from 1 species
CGUAGGGUAGCUAAGCGUUGUCCGGAAUUAUUGGGCGUAAAGAGCUCGUAGGCGGUUUGUCGCGUCUGCUGUGAAAACUCGGGGCUUAACUCCGGGCCUGCAGUGGGUACGGGCAGACUAGAGUGCGUAGGGGAGACUGGAAUUCCUGGUGUAGCGGUGAAAUGCGCAGAUAUCAGGAGGAACACCGGUGGCGAAGGCGGGUCUCUGGGCCGUAACUGACGCUGAGGAGCGAAAGCGUGGGGAGCGAACAGGAUUAGAUACCCUGGUAGUCCACGCCGUAAACGUUGGGCGCUAGGUGUGGGGCUCUUUCCACGAGUUCCGUGCCGCAGCUAACGCAUUAAGCGCCCCGCCUGGGGAGUACGGCCGCAAGGCUA